UACAGAGGAUGCAAGCGUUAUCCGGAAUGAUUGGGCGUAAAGCGUCUGUAGGUGGCUUUUUAAGUCCGCCGUCAAAUCCCAGGGCUCAACUCUGGACAGGCGGUGGAAACUACCAAGCUGGAGUACGGUAGGGGAGACUGGAAUUCCUGGUGUAGCGGUGAAAUGCGCAGAUAUCAGGAGGAACACCGGUGGCGAAGGCGGGUCUCUGGGCCGAUACUGACGCUGAGGAGCGAAAGCGUGGGGAGCGAACAGG
rnacentral:rRNA from 1 species